rnacentral:misc_RNA from 1 species
UCCACCAGAUUCAGAGUAGAUCUCCUCAUGCCCUCUGAAGUCAACGUCGGCCUGCUUACAGUUUGUAGCUUCUUCAAAGAGAGUGACUUCUUCACCUCAUCAACCCUUUCUUCAACUUCCUUCCGGUGCUUCCUGUCCGAUUCACUCAUUGUAUCUGCCCAUUUGAUUUUCUCUUGAAUUGACACAAGAAGAUUGUCUGAAGUAGUCAACCAGUCAGUUAAUGUCUGUAGCAUAUUCCCCAAUUGACCGGGUCUGAGAUCUCUCCCUGCAGCAAAUUGUACCUCAAAGCAUCUUUUCAACUGAUCCAGCUUUCCUCUAACUAUGCCCACAUACAUGCACUCAUUUAUGAGAAAAUCUUCAAGUUCACGCACAUUUGUGACAUCCAACUCCUGCAUAAGUUGAUCAUAUGGAAGCUCCUUGCUUGUAUCAGCUAGUGUAAGCACAGUAAGUUGCUUCAACUUGAGAGCUUGGGCAGACGCCAACUGAGGAAGACAGCCAGCAAUACUUUUGUAGUCACUCCAUGUUCCAUGAGCAAACAAACGAAGCAAAUCAAGGUAUACUGAAUUCUCAGUUCCUCCAAGCUCGAGAACACUGGGAACAGAAAGAAUCUCUGAAAAAGCAAAGAGUGAUGGAUGCGAAGUGGCUUCAACAAUAACAGUGGUAAGGGCAGAACCCUUGAGUGCUGAUGCUUGUUUCACAAAGAAGUCGAUGUGCUCCGCUUGCUUUUGUUCGAUAUCCAUCUCUCUAUGAAUAAUUAAUAAUCACAAGUAAUCAGGGGUUCAAUAACAUUUAUAGACAAAAGCAAAGAAAAUUAUUAGGGUUUCUGAUUUCCGAUUCAAAGAUUUAUCACAAAAACAAAUAGAGAAGAGGGCUUUUUUAACUGUAAAAUUUUGGAGUCCCACGGAGAAGAAGGGCG